UACGAAGGGGACUAGCGUUGUUCGGAAUCACUGGGCGUAAAGCGCACGUAGGCGGAUUUGUAAGUCAGGGGUGAAAUCCCGGGGCUCAACCUCGGAACUGCCUUUGAUACUGCGAAUCUUGAGUCCGAUAGAGGUGGGUGGAAUUCCUAGUGUAGAGGUGAAAUUCGUAGAUAUUAGGAAGAACGCCAGUGGCGAAGGCGGCCCACUCGGAUCGGUACGUG
rnacentral:rRNA from 1 species